UUCCUCGCGAGGCCUUGGAGCAGCCCUUCCGCUCCUCCUGCGCCCUCUUCUCUGCGCCCAAAUGGCGCGUUGACGCGCCAGGUAAGUUGCGCGCUUAUUCACAGGAACUACUGCUUGUCCUUCCCGCCCCCGGAUUUAUUUAUGUGAUCAUCAGGCAUCAUCACAAACUCACUCCUUCACACACAGUUCCGUGCUUCAGGUGAACAAAACAAAAUAGCUUGUGCUGAGAGAAAAGCGACUGCCUGCCAAAU